CCUUGUCCUGCUAGCCUUGGGAUCCAACAGCACACCAGUCAAUCACAGAGUAACCAAUACCUUAACGGCUUAUGAAAUACAAGGUUUAGUGUCUCUUCUACUGCGGGGAUAUGGCAAGUGUGUGGUCACUCCUGACAUCAGCCAAUAAGACAAGUACGAAGAUACUAAAGAAGUGUCACGUGGAGACAGAAACAGUCUUUACUGCAAGGGCAAACAAGAGAAGAAAAAAGAACCAGAAAGAGAAUCUUCGCCUGAGGAGUCUCAGACAUAUCUAGGUCAGAACUUGCCCCCAAGUCACCUGAUUCCCAGGGCAAUGAUCUAACCACACUGUCUCUUGAUCUGAAAUAUUCAUGGGGAAGAAAUGGUUGUAUCUAUUUUCUACAUACAAACUAAGAAUUACUUUCUACUUUAAACUAUAGGAUCUGAUAUUCUCAAAAGUGCUCACAAUUAUCUGAUCUCUUGGCUCAAAGAGCAAGGGUCAAUGUAGAGAGCUGCUUGGAGCUGUGCGUUUAAGAUGGCGCAGGCUGCCGCCAUCCGUUAGCCUGAAAGCGAGCGCUGUCUGUGAUAAACAACUCCUUUUAUGGUGAAGGCCCGUAACUCGCUAUGAUCGUGUGUCGCUUGCGUAUGCUUGAGCCUAUGGGCGAUGUCCACGUGGCACUCCGGGAUAGGUGACCAAAGCAUAUGUAAGGGCUGGGAGAGGUCUGCCCCGGAACAGACAGAGAAAAAUGGGAGAGAAGCGAGAGAGAAGCAAAGGUCCUGAAUAAACUGCGUGCAAGAAGAGUUCCAUUGUCGCGUCGUCAUUGCUGGUUCGAGGCAGUCGUGACAGGUCAAGUUACUCAAAUGAAAAAAUUCUUCUCCACAGAGUACGUGAGUAACUUCAACGCAUCUUGUCCUGCUUUUCAUGUGUGCUCCCAGCCAUACCCAAGCCUUAAGAAAGAAUUGAGGGAGCAUUUGCUGGAGUGAUGGUUCAGUAUUUAAGAGCAUGCAUUGCUUUUGCAGAGAACCCAAGUUCAAGUUCCCAAGCAACAAUCACAUCAGACUCCAGCUCCUGGGAAUCUGGUGCCCUCUUCUGGCUCCCAGAGGUUUAAGAUGCGCUGGUGAAAACAGCAUGGAUUGAAAGCAUGACUUUGAACUCAGGACAACAGAGUCCUACUGAGUAUGCUAGUAUCUACUAGCCAUUUGACCUAGAGCCACUUACUAUUUUCUGAGAUACUUUUUUUUCCUUUUAUUGAAAACGCAUAUUUUGUCAAAUACUAUAUCCUGGCUACCGUUUCCUUUCCCUCUCCUGCUCCUUCCAGUUCCUUUCCGUUUUCCCUCCCGUCUGGAUCCACUCCCUUUCUGCCUCUCAUUAGGAAAUAAACAGAGUCUAUGGGAUAAUAAUGAAAUGAGAUGUAAUAAUAUAAAACAAAAACUGACACACUGAUUAACUAGCACAAUACAAACACACAGAAGGAAGAGACCAAUAAAAUGUACAAGAAACAGACUUGACACAAAUACCCACUUAUUCACACAUCUGGGUUUUUUAUAUAAAAAAUAAAAAUUAAAAUGAUAGCUUUUUGCUGAAAUGUUAUCAUGAUUUUUUCAGUAUUAUAAAUUAUUGUGCAAAUGGUAAAUAUUCAGAAAAUGGUAGACACUCAUAAUUAUUCCUGUAACUGAAUAGAAAUCUGAGGGACUUAAGAAAGUUUUCUCAUCUUUCUGCAUGAGACACUUUUAGAAGGAUGCUUCGGAAAUGUCCACAGAAGUCGAAUGCUUCUAAUGUCAACAGUGUUGGGCCUGACUAUAAUUUACUUUCACCAAUGAGCUCUCAGCAGACCCAUAGCAGACAGACGCAUCCAGGCCUUGGCCAGCUAUCCUCACUUUCUCCAAUAACCUUAAAACAGCAUAGGUUGACUGAGCCCUCAUCUUCCAGAGACACUUCAAGCCCAGCCAAGCUUCCUCAUCUUGGCCCAACCUAGAUAUCUGAAUUGUCAUCAUAUAGACACAUGAGUGAGCUCCCCUGAACACAGCCCAGCUUCUCUGACCAUCAAUCACAGUGGAAUAAAUGAUUCUUGUUUACAGAACUAGAUGGUCAGUAAAGUCUUUUAGCUGCGUUUUUCUGGCAAUAACUAUCACUGUUUUGCUAUUGUAUUUGCAGAGCUACUGUGUGUAUAUUCAUCUAUUUAUGUGACGGUUUUAAAGACAUAUCUUCGUCCUUUACCAGGACUGCAGUACAAAUGGAACUGGUGGUUUGAGAAAUAGAAGAAAAGUGUGCAAGCCUUAAUGAAGCCAUGUAUUUAGAGUCAGUGCCCUAAGUUGGGAAACCAGUUCUUCAAAUGACUCUAGGAUCCAACUGUUCUUUAAGACUUCAAGCUCCAAUGAAAAGAAACACAAAUGUGUAACUAACGUAUGACCUCAACCAUUCACAAAUAUAUAACAGCAACUUCCUCUCAGUUAAAACCCUCAUAUUUCCAAAGACAGGAAAUAUGUCUUUUCUUUUUUUUUAAUUUAAAGAUAGAAUUUAUUCUCUGAUGGUUCAGUCAUGCAAACUGUACAUAAAAGAAAAUAGUACAGUUUGUGUAACAUUGCAAAUAUAA